GGAGGAAUAUCCCCGCCGCCUCCUCCGCUCGUGACGCAGGGCCUCGGGCCAUGGGGGCGUUCGUUGCAGGAGCCUCGCCGCUGACCUCCCGUGCGCGGCGCCCGGCCCUGGCAGCGCCAAUCUCCCCUUCACACACAGGCAAGGUCGAACCCCAACACCGAGAAGGUAUCUUGGCACCAAAUCAUCGCGAGAAGAAGGAGCCUCCGAACAGGAAACCGGCGGGGAGCAUGCCACCGUAGGGGAAGGGCAGGGGAGACAUGGUGGCGGCUAGCUGGGCCAAGCUGCGAACGCCCAUCGGCGACUUUCGUUGGGGUCCAUACCAUUCUUCCUCCCCUCACUCCGAUGCCAAAACCAGUAGGUGCAGCAAGAAGGUCAAGCAUCAACAGAGGUGCACAUCCGCACAUGGGUGGCGUGAACAGAUGGCUACCCCAAGAUAAU